rnacentral:sRNA from 1 species
UGGCGACUGGCAUGUGGGAUAGGGGUGGAAGGGAAUCUUUUUUUGGUGCUGCAGAAGAUAAGGGGCUCUACCCUCCUGUGGAGUAGUGUGAUACCCCAAGAAUGGAGAAAACAGAAAUUCUCAAGAUACGCAGCUGAUGCUGGAGGAUCAACUCACUAUCCUGAAGGUCCAUUCUCCCAAGAAGAAGGGACAGAAAGACAGAUCUAUUUGUAAGAAAGGCUUGGGUAUCCCAUGAACGAGCCAACAGAAAACCGAUUGGGGUGCAGCAGGACUCCAGAGCCAGAUAUAAGGCUCAGAAAAGGGCACCAACUGGAUGCUACAAGAAGAGGUGAUAAUGACAGCCACCAAGGAGAUUUGGAGCCCAUUUUAGAGGCAUCUGUUCUGUCUUCCCAUCAUAAAAAAAGCUCUGAGGAACAUGAGUACAGUGAUGAAGCUCCACAGGAAGAUGAGGGGUUUAUGGGCAUGUCCCCUCUCUUACAAGCCCA